CCUCUCGCUUGUGGCCCGCGAGCCCUCUGGCUAAUUUGUAUGUAAUAUUGUCAAACAACAAUGUCUGAUAAAGUCACACAUAUUAACAAAAGUGCGGCCCGCGUCAACUUCCUUAACUACUAUGUGGCCCUUGGCUACUAAAAGGUUGCCGACCGCUGGUCUAGUUAGACAGGUAGAGUUCUAACUGUUAGAACGUGACAAGCUGACCAGCAUGAUGACAGAUGAUGAAAAACCGACCAUCUUAGCCCUACAGUACGGAUAUGAUGGUCGUAUUUGUCUACGUGACAGCGUGAUAAAACGGUGUCUGUUCUACCCGCAGUGUUAAAAAGUGACAGUUGUUCUAUCACGUAGAUAAAUAUGGAUAAAGCGAUCCAUAAUAGGCUUGCAGAUCGGACAAUUGAAUCACAACUAAUCUUAACCUUAUAAAAUCAAUUUCGACUACUUCGAAACGAAAUAAGUGUUCCGUGAACAAAGUUUUGCACGGAACACUAAAAAUAUGGUCACCAAAGAAAAUUGCCCUAUUGUGGUCUGUACCAUUUUGUGAUCAAUGAAAUCGAGUAGGUAUUGACCAUACAACGAACAUGUCCUAAUAUAGUAACAUUGCCCGGUACGUCAUAUACGUGAGUGUAUCCAAGAGCAAUGAAAACGGACAACUUUGUUUAAUUUUUCUAUAUGAAGUGAGCCUUUUUCAUUCCGCUUAAAAGUGUAUAUAUGUACAGUGGAAUAUUUUACAUAUGUACAUAUGACUAAUUCAUUCAGUUUACGUGUAAAUAAACUCUGCAAUGUUAUGUUCAGAAGUAAUCAGUAUUGAAAUCUCAUUCAAUUGUUUACUUUAUAACACCUUGUUUUGACAUACAUUUUUUUAACUAAAUCACGCGGUUACCUCAUGCGCCGCAUUCAGAGACCGCGCCAGUGUGAUAACCCUUUCAUAUAUAUUUUAUCGCGACAGAUAUAAUAUAAAGUAAGAUUCUUAGUUCAGUAUACCAUAUAUGUACUUGCUAACUAUGUAAACAAAAGUCACUAGUUAAUUCAUCAUUCUAUGACAAUUUCAAUAUGGCGGUUUGUUUACAUAGUUAGCAAGUUCCAUAGAAUGACACUUUAUACAAACUGUAUAUAAACAACUGUGUAUUGCUGUUUGUACUGUACUACAUAAUUUUAAACCUUAAGCCAAUUUUGCUUAUUGCACCUUAUUGGUUCUAGACGUAGUAUCUUCUUAACAGUUUGUGCGUUCUAGCUCCCUAACGCCAUCUGUUAGAUUAUUAUGGCACGACGUUGGCAGUGACAGCUAGAGGAGACGCCACAUAACAUAGUUUCCCCUACAUACCAUCCACAAACCUUAAAAGAUAAAAAAUAGUUUAUUCAAGUAGGCAUAUUACAAUGCGCUUAUGAACGUCAAAUAAACCUUUACCGGCUCCAACCGUACACCUCUGCCCCGAGAAGAUUUAAAUCCCCCCCUCAAUUGGAGGAGGGUAUCCCAAUAUCCCAACUUAAGAUUCGAAUGGUGAUUACAUCAAAUGAAAUUGUAACUGUUAUAUUCCUUAAAUCAUGGAAUAUGUCGUCGGUGCUUAUAUAUUUACGUGUGUUUGCGACGUGAAUGAUAUUUGUGUCGAAUGGCAACUAAUAAGCAACUUCAUAAUACUAAAUAUUAACUGAAGAAUCUGACAAAAAUAGUAGUAUGUGUAGCAAGGCUCGGAACCGGGUUUUUCGUCGUACAAAUAAUACCGGUAUUAUUUCGUUCUUUGGUUUAUUAUUUCAUAAUGGGACAAUCUAAUAAUACGAUGUUGUUACCUAAAUACAUGAUUCAGUCCUAAGAGCAUAAAAUAAUUAAAUAUAUUGGGCUAUUUCGGGUUUUAAAAAAAACCGGUUCCGAGCCUUGGUGUGUAGGCUUCCAAAGUAACUUCUGUUUUGACUGUUACUCCUUAAGCCUAAUGGUUACUUAGUGGGUAACCGUUUAUAUGCUUAUUUACAGUUUUGAGAAAACAAUUUAUUGAACGAUUCCUUUUGAUCGUUGUCACUACUGCCAGAUUUAAAUCAAAUAUUCACUAGCAAAAACUUCAUAUUAUAUUAUAUACCGUCAGCCGAAGAGCAUGGCGAUAUUAUCAAUGAAUUCAUUCAUAAUACGCCAAAAAUAUGUUUAUACUUUUGCACCUUACGACUUUGUAAUAAGGCGAAAAAUGUAAACCAAUUUGUGACGUCGACUGUAUCUAUCAAAUUAAAUAAAACUUUGGUACGAUGUUACUGUCUAUUUCUAUCACAGUUGUUAAUCAGAAUAAAUAUUGUUUAAUACAAUUUGACCUUUUUAAUAUAGACAGAUAACGUAUAAGUAAAUAUUUACGCACAUAUUGUUUUAUACAUACUGUUGUUUAUAUUUUUAGAUUGGAGUUUUGACUAGUGAACCAUCAUGGAACUGUGUACAUUGUAUAACCAAAGAUAAUUGAAUGUAAUAGAGAGGUAGAGUCUAUAAAAUAAAACGUGCCUCUUAUUUUGACAUCAAAAAUAGAUGGCGCUGUACUGUAAAUGUCAAUUUUUGACAAUCUUAGUUACCGCAAAACGUAUGGACAUGUAUAGCGCCAUCUCGUUUACCUGUCAAAUUCGAAACACGAAAUUGUCUUAGAUUUUACGCAGAUCUUACUCAAUCAAUGUAUCUUUGGUAUAACUAUUGUUAUAUUUUAAAUUAUUAAAUGUACCGUGCAAAUGUGCGAGUGUUAGAUAUCCAAUUUUAGUGUAAGCGUUAUUUUAUACAAAGUUGUCAUUAAUAAAUGAUUAUUUUAGUAUAA